rnacentral:rRNA from 1 species
GAUGAACGCUAGCGACAGGCCUAACACAUGCAAGUCGAGGGGCAGCACGGAGUAAGCUUGCUUACUUUGGUGGCGACCGGCGCACGGGUGCGUAACAGGUGUGCAAUCUGUCCAUAAUCGGGGAAUAGCCCAGCGAAAGUUGGAUUAAUGCUCCAUGUGAGCAGAGGAGGCAUCUCCUUUGUUUGAAACGUAAGGAUUAUGGGUGAGCACGCUUCUGAUUAGGUAGUUGGUGAGGUAACGGCUCACCAAGCCGACGAUCAGUAGGGGUUCUGAGAGGAAGGUCCCCCACAUUGGAACUGAGACACGGUCCAAACUCCUACGGGAGGCAGCAGUGAGGAAUAUUGGUCAAUGGACGAAAGUCUGAACCAGCCAAGUCGCGUGAAGGAUGAAGGUUCUAUGGAUUGUAAACUUCUUUUGUCUGAGGGUAAAAAAGCGGACGUGUCCGUUCUUGCAAGUAUCAGACGAAUAAGCAUCGGCUAACUCCGUGCCAGCAGCCGCGGUAAAAC